rnacentral:rRNA from 1 species
AGAGUUUGAUCAUGGCUCAGAACGAACGCUGGCGGCGUGCCUAAUACAUGCAAGUCGAUCGAGUAGCAAUACUAGAGGCGCACGGGAGAGAAACGCGUAAGUAAUCUGCCCACGAGUGGGGAAUAACCAGUCGAAAGAUUGGCUAAUACCGCAUAAGACCACAAGGCCUGCGGGCCAAGGGGUCAAAGGAGUAAUUCGCUUGUGGAUGAGCUUGCGUCCGAUUAGCUAGUUGGUAGGGUAACGGCCUACCAAGGCGAGGAUCGGUAGCUGGUCUGAGAGGAUGAUCAGCCUCACUGGAACUGAGACACGGUCCAGACUCCUACGGGAGGCAGCAGUAGGGAAUAUUGCUCAAUGGGGGAAACCCUGAAGCAGCAACGCCGCGUGAGUGAUGAAGGCCUUCGGGUCGUAAAGCUCUGUCGCAGGGGAAAAUUCAAGAUGGUACCCUGUAAGAAAGGACCGGCCAACUUCGUGCCAGCAGCCGCGGUAAUACGGGGGGUCCUAGCGUUGUUCGGAAUCACUGGGCGUAAAGCGUUUGUAGGUGGCUUUGUAAGUUGAAUGUGAAAGCCCAGGGCCUAACCCUGGAAGUGCAUUCAAUACUGCAGAGCUUUGAGUAUGGGGAGAGGAAGAUGGAAUAGCUGGUGUAGUGGUGAAAUACGUAGAUAUCAGCUGGAACAUCGGUGGCGAAAGCGGUCUUCUGGCCUAAUACUGACACUGAAAAACGAAAGCGUGGGGAUCAAACAGGAUUAGAUACCCUAGUAGUCC